rnacentral:lncRNA from 1 species
CCUGCUACUAUUCGAGUUUUCCUCUGAAACAAAAAUGGAGCGGAAGGGCUGCCAAUAACCACUUCCUGCUACUUGGCGCUAUUAAUUAUACAUCUUUCAAGAAACCAACAUUCUCUAAAUUCAAAAAUAUUUCAUUUCUCUCAAGCCUCUUCAAGUAUUAUGCCAUUUAAUUGUCAAUAUCCUGUAAAAAAAAAGUCAUCACAAUUAAAAGUAGAAAUAGAUACAACAGAUCUCAACAUGUAUAAUCUUCUCUCUUUCAAGAGGGACAAAAGUAUAUAGUCCUUGUGGCUCAACCUUGUCCUUAAGGUGGCAUCACACAUGUACAGAUGAACCAUCAAUUAAGCCACUUUGAAUUUUGUAGAAGAAAAAAAUAAACUUAAAAAUUACUCAAUCUAAAGAAAUAAAAAUAGAUGAAUCAGAUAGAUUCUGAAAGUAAUGAAUAAUGCAUAGAAAAGCAGGCAGUAAUCUUUCUGUCAUGUGACAGCUUAUAAGUUAAGCGUAUUGAAAUUUUGAUUUGUAACAAUAUUUUGAACUAAUUACCAAUACCAUAACAUCAUAAAACAGUUGUAGCAACAUCCAAAAAUAACAGCAAAAGUGAUUUCAACCGCAGUCGAAAAUACCAGAACAAAGUAAGAAGUAAAUUUUGUUAAUUCAGAUUCAGAAAACCAGCUACUACUGUUAAAUGAAAACAUCUUAUGAUUAGACAUGAAGAUUUAACUUAUAAAUCAGACUACGGUAUAAAAGAUACAAACUCUUAAUUUUACACAACUUCAUGGAAUAGAUUGUUAUACCAAAUUUUUAUAAAAAAUAUAUACCUCGGCAUUAGCCGAUGAACCCACCCACCACCAAAGUCUCCCAUAUGAAUCACUUUACCUUAAGUAUCCAUCAUGUUGGAUACUUAUUCAACCUCCAAACUCUCUCAAUUAACAGUAUGAUGCCACUUACAUGCUUUAUGACAUAUUCUUACCCAAGUAACAUCUACUCCUUCCACAACCAAAUCCUUCACCUGCUCAAGCCCAC